rnacentral:rRNA from 1 species
GAUGAACGCUGGCGGCGUGCCUAAUACAUGCAAGUCGAGCGAACAGACCAGGAGCUGGCGCCUAUGACUUUAGAGGCGGACGGGAGAGUAACACGUGGAUAACCUACCUAUCAGACUGGGAUGACUUUGGGAAACCAGAGCUAAUACCGGAUAACUUGUUGAACCGCAUGGUUCAACAGUGAAAGACGGUCUUGCGGACACUUAUAGAUGGCUCCGAGCUGAAUCCGCUAGUUGUUAAGGUGACGGCUUACCAAGGCAAGGAUGAGUAACCGCCACAAGAGAGAAGUCCGCCACACUGUGAGAGAGACACGUCCGAGACACCUACAGGGGGCCACGGUAGAGAAUCUUCCGGGAUGGGCGAGUGCCUGACGGAGCAACACCGCGUAAAUGAUGAACCUCUUCGGAUCGGUAAACUCUGUUAUUAUGGAAGAUCAAAUGUUCAUGUAACUAUGCAGAUCGUGACGGUACCUGAUCAAAAAGCUCCGGCUAACUCCGUG